GGGUAGCUGUAAGUAAGCGUUGAUCCAGAGAUUUCCGAAUGGGGGAACCCAGCAUGAGUUAUGUCAUGUUAUCGACAUGUGAAUUUAUAGCAUGUCAGAAGGCAGACCCGGAGAACUGAAACAUCUUAGUACCCGGAGGAAGAGAAAGAAAAAAUCGAUUCCCUGAGUAGCGGCGAGCGAAACGGGAAGAGCCCAAACCAACAAGCUUGCUUGUUGGGGUUGUAGGACACUCUAUACGGAGUUACAAAAGAACAUGUUAGACGAAUCAUCUGGAAAGAUGAAUCAAAGAAGGUAAUAAUCCUGUAGUCGAAAACAUAUUCUCUCUUGAGUGGAUCCUGAGUACGACGGAGCACGUGAAAUUCCGUCGGAAUCUGGGAGGACCAUCUCCUAAGGCUAAAUACUCUCUAGUGACCGAUAGUGAACCAGUACCGUGAGGGAAAGGUGAAAAGUACCCCGGAAGGGGAGUGAAAAAGAACUUGAAACCGUGUGCUUACAAGUAGUCAGAGCACGUUAAUGGGUGAUGGCGUGCCUUUUGUAGAAUGAACCGGCGAGUUACGAUCUGAUGCAAGGUUAAGCAGCAAAUGUGGAGCCGCAGCGAAAGCGAGUCUGAAU
rnacentral:rRNA from 1 species